rnacentral:rRNA from 1 species
CCUACGGGGGGCUGCAGUGGGGAAUAUUGGACAAUGGGGGCAACCCUGAUCCAGCCAUGCCGCGUGUGUGAAGAAGGCCCUCGGGUUGUAAAGCACUUUCAGUGAGGAAGAACGCCUGGUGGUUAAUACCCAUCAGGAAAGACAUCACUCACAGAAGAAGCACCGGCUAACUCCGUGCCAGCAGCCGCGGUAAUACGGAGGGUGCGAGCGUUAAUCGGAAUUACUGGGCGUAAAGCGCGCGUAGGUGGCUUGAUAAGCCGGUUGUGAAAGCCCCGGGCUCAACCUGGGAACGGCAUCCGGAACUGUGAAGCUAGAGUGCAGGAGAGGAAGGUAGAAUUCCGGGUGUAGCGGUGAAAUGCGUAGAGAUCGGGAGGAAUACCGGUGGCGAAGGCGGCCUUCUGGACUGACACUGACGCUGAGGUGCGAAAGCGUGGGUAGCAAACAGGAUUAGAUACCCCUGUAGUC